CACGUAGGGCGCAAGCGUUGUCCGGAAUUAUUGGGCGUAAAGAGCUCGUAGGCGGUCUGUUACGUCUGCUGUGAAAAUCCGGGGCUCAACCCCGGACUUGCAGUGGGUACGGGCAGACUAGAGUGUGGUAGGGGAGACUGGAAUUCCUGGUGUAGCGGUGAAAUGCGCAGAUAUCAGGAGGAACACCGAUGGCGAAGGCAGGUCUCUGGGCCACUACUGACGCUGAGAAGCGAAAGCAUGGGGAGCGAACAGG
rnacentral:rRNA from 1 species